rnacentral:hammerhead_ribozyme from 1 species
AUUCAACUGACGAGUAGCAAAUAGAAUGAAACGCGAGUCUUGAAU